UUGAGAGAUUAUUCAAUGCAUUCUUAUAACCUUAGAAUACAUAAAGAAUCUAUAAGAGUUACAUCUAUGGUAAAACGUCAAUUUGCAAAGACUAACCAUAGAAAAUUUUGGAAACAUGUUAAAUUUCAGCAAAGAUAUCUUCUAUUGUAUAAAGAAUAUAUCUCGAAGAUUGUUUUUUAAAUAGAAACUAAUAUAUUCUAUAAUAAAUGAAAGUUAUAGAAAGAUUCCACAAUUUACCCUAAAAUGGAAUUAUAUAGAAUAUGAACAAGAUAAAUUAUAAAGUAUAUAUUGAUAUUACACAACUUUUAAAAGUUUCAUUGUCAAGAAUCAUUAUAAUUCGUUUAAAAUGAUUUUUAUCGGAUAUGGAUAUUGGUAUUGAUAUUGAAGGGAGGCGCUCGUGGGCGUCCAAGCAUUUAGGCCACCAGACCGCUCUAGAGAAUGUCCAAAAUGCCACCCUUUCUAUAGAAGUAAAUAUGAAACUCCAAAAUUAAUACAAACAAGGAACUAUCAUCAUGAAAAAUCGUUACAUUUCAACUGAGAUGGUUUGAAUCAAAGAUAAAUAAAUGUGUCUCAUAAAGUUAUAUUAAUUAAAAAUUGUUAUCUAAUGUAAUGAAAUUUAGUUAUUUUUACUUUAAAUCACCAUCCAAAUUAUUAGAAAUUAUGAUAGACCCAACUACAGUCAAAUGAUGGUAAGAAAACAUACAUGUCUAUAAAUUUCAAGAUUCUAAAAAUAUCGUUGAUGAUCGCAUAAAGAACGUAUUACUGGAAUUUAUUUCAUAAAGAAACAUAAAAGGUAUUUAAUAUAACAAUCUUAAUUUUUAUGUGAUAAUAAUUUCCAUAAUCCCUAAUUUAUUAUUGUUUUGUCUCCGAUGGUUGCAGGAUUUAAGAAUUUGUGGAAAAAUAAUUAAUGCAAUACAAAAACCAGAUGUUUUAUCAUAAAGAAUAUUUUCAUUUUGACUAAAAUAGUUUUCAUUAAAUGUAAAUGAAGAUACAAUAUUUUUCUAAUAUUUGGUCGUAUAUA